rnacentral:rRNA from 1 species
UACGUAGGGUGCAAGCGUUGUCCGGAAUUAUUGGGCGUAAAGAGCUCGUAGGCGGUUUGUUGCGUCGGCUGUGAAAUCCCGAGGCUCAACCUCGGGUCUGCAGUCGAUACGAGCAAACUAGAGUGUUGCAGGGGAGACUGGAAUUCCUGGUGUAGCGGUGAAAUGCGCAGAUAUCAGGAGGAACACCGGUGGCGAAGGCGGCGACCUGGGUAGAUACUGACGCUGAGGUGCGAAAGCGUGGGGAGCAAACAGG